AGGACGAACGCUGGCGGCGUGCUUAACACAUGCAAGUCGAGCGGUAAGGCCUCCUUCGGGGGGUACACGAGCGGCGAACGGGUGAGUAACACGUGGGUGACCUGCCCUCAGCUCUGGGAUAAGCCUGGGAAAACCGGGUCUAAUACCGGAUAGGACUGCUUGCCGCAUGGUGGGUGGUGGAAAGUUUUUUCGGCUGGGGAUGGGCCCGCGGCCUAUCAGCUUGUUGGUGGGGUGAUGGCCUACCAAGGCGGUGACGGGUA
rnacentral:rRNA from 1 species